CAGUCGCCGCGGUAAAACGGAGGGUGCAAGCGUUAAUCGGAAUUACUGGGCGUAAAGCGCACGCAGGCGGUCUGACAAGUCAGAUGUGAAAUCCCCGGGCUUAACCUGGGAACUGCAUUUGAAACUGUCAGGCUGGAGUCUUGUAGAGGGGGGUGGAAUUCCAGGUGUAGCGGUGAAAUGCGUAGAGAUCUGGAGGAAUACCGGUGGCGAAGGCGGCCCCCUGGACAAAGACUGACGCUCAGGUGCGAAAGCGUGGGGAGCAAACAGGAUUAGAUACCCGUGUAGUCCCUGUCUCUUAUAC
rnacentral:rRNA from 1 species